rnacentral:rRNA from 1 species
GAUGAACGCUGGCGGCGUGCCUAAUACAUGCAAGUCGAGCGAACGGACGAGAAGCUUGCUUCUCUGAUGUUAGCGGCGGACGGGUGAGUAACACGUGGAUAACCUACCUAUAAGACUGGGAUAACUUCGGGAAACCCUAAUACCGGAUAAUAUUUUGAACCGCAUGGUUCAAAAGUGAAAGACGGUCUUGCUGUCACUUAUAGAUGGAUCCGCGCUGCAUUAGCUAGUUGGUAAGGUAACGGCUUACCAAGGCAACGAUGCAUAGCCGACCUGGGUGAUCGGCCACACUGGAACUGAGACACGGUCCAGACUCCUACGGGAGGCAGCAGUAGGGAAUCUUCCGCAAUGGGCGAAAGCCUGACGGAGCAACGCCGCGUGAGUGAUGAAGGUCUUCGGAUCGUAAAACUCAUUAGGGAAGAACAUAUGUGUAAGUAACUGUGCACAUCUUGACGGUACCUAAUCAGAAAGCCACGGCUAACUACGUGCCAGCAGCCGCGGUAAUACGUAGGUGGCAAGCGUUAUCCGGAAUUAUUGGGCGUAAAGCGUAGGCGGUUUUUUAAGUCUGAUGUGAAAGCCCACGGCUCAACCGUGGAGGGUCAUUGGAAACUGGAAAACUUGAGUGCAGAAGAGGAAAGUGGAAUUCCAUGUGUAGCGGUGAAAUGCGCAGAGAUAUGGAGGAAAGUGGCGAAGGCGACUUUCUGGUCUGUAACUGACGCUGAUGUGCGAAAGCGUGGGGAUCAAACAGGAUUAGAUACCCUGGUAGUCCACGCCGUAAACGAUGAGUGCUAAGUGUUAGGGGGUUUCCGCCCCUUAGUGAGCUAACGCAUUAAGCACUCCGCCUGGGGAGUACGACCGCAAGGUUGAAACUCAAAGGAAUUGACGGGGACCCGCACAAGCGGUGGAGCAUGUGGUUUAAUUCGAAGCAACGCGAAGAACCUUACCAAAUCUUGACCUUUGACAACUCUAGAGAUAGAGCCUUCCCCUUCGGGGGACAAAGUGACAGGUGGUGCAUGGUUGUCGUAGCUCGUGUCGUGAGAUGUUGGGUUAAGUCCCGCAACGAGCGCAACCCUUAAGCUUAGUUGCCAUCAUUAGUUGGGCACUCUAAGUUGACUGCCGGUGACAAACCGGAGGAAGGUGGGGAUGACGUCAAAUCAUCAUGCCCUUAUGAUUUGGGCUACACACGUGCUACAAUGGACAAUACAAAGGGCAGCGAAACCGCGAGGUCAAGCAAAUCCCAUA